UGCCCUAGUAACGGCGAGUGAAGCGGCAACAGCUCAAAUUUGAAAUCUGGCGCAAGCCCGAGUUGUAAUUUGUAGAGGAUGCUUCUGGGUAGCGGCCGGUCUAAGUUCCUUGGAACAGGACGUCAUAGAGGGUGAGAAUCCCGUAUGUGACUGGCUUGCACCCUCCACGUAGCUCCUUCGACGAGUCGAGUUGUUUGGGAAUGCAGCUCUAAAUGGGAGGUAAAUUUCUUCUAAAGCUAAAUACCGGCCAGAGACCGAUAGCGCACAAGUAGAGUGAUCGAAAGAUGAAAAGCACUUUGGAAAGAGAGUUAAAAAGCACGUGAAAUUGUUGAAAGGGAAGCGCCCGCAACCAGACUUUGCGGCAGUGUUCGGCCGGUCUUCUGACCGGUUUACUCGCUGUCGUGAGGCCAUCAUCGUCUGGGACCGCUGGAUAAGACCUUAGGAAUGUGGCUCCCCUCGGGGAGUGUUAUAGCCUCUGGUGAUGCAGCGCGUCUCGGGCGAGGUCCGCGCUUCGGCAAGGAUGAUGGCGUAAUGGUUGUCGGCGGCCCGUCUUGAAACACGGACCAAGGAGUCUAACAUCUAUGCGAGUGUUCGGGUGUCAAACCCCUACGCGUAAUGAAAGUGAACGGAGGUGGGAACUUUUUGUGCACCAUCGACCGAUCCUGAUGUCCUCGGAUGGAUUUGAGUAAGAGCAUAGCUGUUGGGACCCGAAAGAUGGUGAACUAUGCCUGAAUAGGGUGAAGCCAGAGGAAACUCUGGUGGAGGCUCGCAGCGGUUCUGACGUGCAAAUCGAUCGUCAAAUUUGGGUAUAGGGGCGAAAGACU
rnacentral:rRNA from 1 species